CAGAAGUCUGCAACAGAACGAUCUCCUUCGAUAAAAUGUUGGUAGAACUCGGAAUCACGCUGAAGCUGUCCAGAUGUUAUGAGACGCAGUCUCUUAUUAGUCCACUAUAAACCCCAUUCUACAUGCACCACUGACAAGACCAUGAGGAGGACUACGUAAUGAGGAUUCAACUCCCAGCAGGGUGUUGAAGAGGAAGUCAAGUAAGAAACAAGCAGAGGCAGGCUGCAAGCUCAGUCUUUUGCUGAAGGCGGAGGUGAUAUGAUAAUAAAAGGUAAAGCUGUCGCUGUGCUUAAUUAGUAAAGCAUUAUGC